rnacentral:sRNA from 1 species
CUGGCCUCGUUUUCGUUCUGUGAAUAUUGUGUAAGAGCCAAGUAAUGAAGAAUUCGAAGAAAGUAGUAAGAUAAAGGAAAUCUAAAUUUUAUACAAAAUACAGAAUGGCUCAAGGAGAAGAGAAUUUUAAAACAUCUAUACAGAAUAUUAGAGCCUAUGCAGAAGGUUUAAGAAAAGAAGCAAUUUUUAAAGAGAAUUACUCACGUAUAGACAAUGUGGUAGAAAAAUUUCAGAAUUAUUUAGAAGAGGUCACGGCAAAAACUAUUUUCAAUAAAAUGUAUUUCUGUCGCAUCCGAAUGAAAUUUUAUGGAGACAAAAUGUUGUUUUUCUAUUUGGAGGUUUCAGAAAAUGGACAAGAGGAAGCCAUCUGGCCAGUAAAGAUUACAUGGAAGGUUGAAAUUAUUGACGAGAACAAUGCAGAGGACAAAAAAAAGUUUUAGUUCUAGGAGAAUUAUCUUCUCUUUAUAACAAACCCAAAGAAGGUUUAGCAUCACAUUCAAACGAUUGGAUAUCUGUCAGUCUAGAGAAAAUGAUAUCGUCUGGGUUAAUUUCGGAGAAUUCUGUGACUGUUAAAUGGUCAGCUCUUGUUGAGCCCAUUUUAAUGGAUAACUUUCUAGACAGAUUUGAGAAACUGGUUAAAAGUGCCGAGGAUAAAUUUAAUUUUUUCCAUAAACAUCUUCAAGAAGUGAAACAUGACGUGUCGUGGGCCUCGUCUUCAACUACAGAUCACGAAUGUGGAGUCUCAAAGAUAAAUAGUGAUUUACCAGAUGUGAAUCAGAAGUUGGACAAACUUUUGGAAAGGUUGGAGCAUAUGGACUGUUAUUUAAAAUCUUUGUCUAACAACAACGGAAUAAUCUCCAAUCUCAAUACCACCUAGAUGUUUUAUGCAGAAACUUUAAAACUAAAACUAAAAUGUACAUUUGUAAAUACACGUUUCUUGAAAAGAUAUGUUAACUUUGCAUCAUACGUUAGUAACGUGUAAGUUAUAUGUAUGGUUCUAUUUGCAUAAAAUAUUAAUCACAAAACUGUGUACAAUUAA